UGGGGAAUUUUGGACAAUGGGCGAAAGCCUGAUCCGGCCAUGCCGCGUGAGUGAAGAAGGCCUUCGGGUUGUAAAGCUCUUUUAGUCGGAAAGAAAGAGUUGCAAUGAAUAAUUGUGAUUUAUGACGGUACCGACAGAAAAAGCACCGGCUAACUACGUGCCAGCAGCCGCGGUAAUACGUAGGGUGCGAGCGUUAAUCGGAAUUACUGGGCGUAAAGGGUGCGCAGGCGGUCUUGCAAGUCAGAUGUGAAAGCCCCGGGCUUAACCUGGGAAUUGCGUUUGAAACUACAAGACUAGAGUGCAGCAGAGGGGAGUGGAAUUCCAUGUGUAGCAGUGAAAUGCGUAGAGAUGUGGAAGAACACCGAUGGCGAAGGCAGCUCCCUGGGUUGACACUGACGCUCAUGCACGAAAGCGUGGGGAGCAAACA
rnacentral:rRNA from 1 species